AGUUUCCUGUCGCCGGAUCUAACCCAUUCCGGGAAUCCAUCCGAGUCUUGAUUCGCCGCCAGUAGUUUCCGGUGGAUCGGAAUGUUGAAGUCGCCGAGAAUCGAGAAAAUGUGAGCCACGAUUGCUCUUUCAACAUUAUUGCCUUCACAUUGCUCUUACUUUGAAUUGUAGGUGUGUCGAAAGUGUGAUUUGUUGGGAUAUUAUAACUACAAACUGAAGACUGGCAUUUGUUCAACAUGUAAAAAUGGGGAUAAUACAUCUACCAUGAAGUUGCCAUAUGCAUGCAAUUCAAGCUUCUUCUCCAGGAGCUUCAAUCAAUGAACAUUGUUCCUCGCUUGAGAUUGACUGAAGCUUGAUCUUACUGUAUUCUCUAUCUCGGCCACAAAUUAUCUCAUGGGGUCGUCUCUGCACGAUUGGAGUUUAUGCAUGUCCCAUAACUCAUUUUUCUACUACACAUUCACCAGAUACAAGCUGCCAAAUUUGAAUGAAGUGAAUUUAACAUGAUGAUCUCAAAAGUAGCUAAUGGUUAAUUAGGGUCUUAGGAAUUCUACAUUUGAAGAUGGUCACAGAUUUAGUGAUCCAUGUUGCUAGUCGAAAGAAGUCAAGAAGAAUGUGAUAGGAGGCUUAUAUAUAACCUUUGCCUUUUGGUCCAAACUUGAAACACCAUUCAAUAAUUUCUUCUUGGUCCAAACCUGAGAUUUAGGUUUGUAGCCCAGAAAGGAAGAAAGGAGCGACAGAGAGGUGGGAUUUUGUUGAAAGGGCGGUUGCCUCUCUCUGUUUCGCAAUGAUUCCUCUAUUUUCAACUUUCAACAACCCUUUCGAUUUGUUUUUGUUUUUUGUUUUUGUUUUCCCCAGAAAU